GAAAAGCUCAAAUUUAAAAUCUGGCGGUCUUUGGCCGUCCGAGUUGUAAUCUAGAGAAGUGUUAUCCGCGCUGGACCGUGUACAAGUCUCCUGGAAUGGAGCGUCAUAGAGGGUGAGAAUCCCGUCUUUGACACGGACUGCCAGGGCUAUGUGAUGCGCUCUCAAAGAGUCGAGUUGUUUGGGAAUGCAGCUCAAAAUGGGUGGUAAAUUCCAUCUAAAGCUAAAAAUUGGCGAGAGACCGAUAGCGAACAAGUACCGUGAGGGAAAGAUGAAAAGAACUUUGGAAAGAGAGUUAAACAGUACGUGAAAUUGCUGAAAGGGAAACGCUUGAAGUCAGUCGCGUUGGCUGGGGAUCAACCUUGCUUUUGCUGGGCGUACUUUCCGGUCGACGGGUCAGCAUCAAUUUUGACCGUCGGAUAAAGUCCAGGGGAAUGUAGCAUCUUCGGAUGUGUUAUAGCCUUUGGUCGCAUACGACGAUUGGGAUUGAGGAACUCACGACGCCGCAAGGCCGGGUACUUGUACCACGUUCGUGCUUAGGAUGCUGGCAUAAUGGCUUUAAUCGACCCGUCUUGAAACACGGACCAAGGAGUCUAACAUGCCUGCGAGUGUUUGGGUGGAAAACCCGGACGCACAAUGAAAGUGAAAGUUGAGAUCCCUGUCGUGGGGAGCAUCGACGCCCGGACCAGACCUUUUGUGACGGAUCCGCGGUAGAGCAUGUAUGUUGGGACCCGAAAGAUGGUGAACUAUGCCUGAAUAGGGUGAAGCCAGAGGAAACUCUGGUGGAGGCUCGU
rnacentral:rRNA from 1 species